rnacentral:rRNA from 1 species
GAUGAACGCUGGCGGCGUGCCUAAUACAUGCAAGUCGAGCGAACGGACGAGAAGCUUGCUUCUCUGAUGUUAGCGGCGGACGGGUGAGUAACACGUGGAUAACCUACCUAUAAGACUGGGAUAACUUCGGGAAACCGUAGCUAAUACCGGAUAAUAUUUUGAACCGCAUGGUUCAAAAGUGAAAGACGGUCUUGCUGUCACUUAUAGAUGGAUCCGCGCUGCAUUAGCUAGUUGGUAAGGUAACGGCUUACCAAGGCAACGAUGCAUAGCCGACCUGAGAGGAUGAUCGGCCACACUGGAACUGAGACACGGUCCAGACUCCUACGGGAGGCAGCAGUAGGGAAUCUUCCGCAAUGGGCGAAAGCCUGGCGGAGCAACGCCGCGUGAGUGAUGAAGGUCUUCGGAUCGUAAAACUCUGUUAUUAGGGAAGAACAUAUGUGUAAGUAACUGUGCACAUCUUGACGGUACCUAAUCAGAAAGCCACGUCUAACUACGUG